rnacentral:rRNA from 1 species
UACAGAGGUCCCGAGCGUUGUUCGGAUUUAUUGGGCGUAAAGGGUGCGUAGGCGGCGGAAUAAGUUGGGUGUGAAAUCCCGGGGCUCAACCUCGGAAUGGCAUUCAAUACUGCUUCGCUCGAGUACUGGAGAGGAGGCUGGAAUUUACGGUGUAGCAGUGAAAUGCGUAGAUAUCGUAAGGAAGGCCGGUGGCGAAAAGCGAGCCUCUGGACAGUUACUGACGCUGAUGCACGAAAGGCCAGGGGGAGCAAAACGGGG